rnacentral:rRNA from 1 species
UGGGGAAUAUUGGACAAUGGGCGAAAGCCUGAUCCAGCCAUGCCGCGUGUGUGAAGAAGGUCUUCGGAUUGUAAAGCACUUUAAGUUGGGAGGAAGGGCAUUAACCUAAUACGUUAGUGUUUUGACGUUACCGACAGAAUAAGCACCGGCUAACUCUGUGCCAGCAGCCGCGGUAAUACAGAGGGUGCAAGCGUUACUAGGAAUUACUGGGCGUAAAGCGCGCGUAGGUGGUUUGUUAAGUUGGAUGUGAAAUCCCCGGGCUCAACCUGGGAACUGCAUUCAAAACUGACUGACUAGAGUAUGGUAGAGGGUGGUGGAAUUUCCUGUGUAGCGGUGAAAUGCGUAGAUAUAGGAAGGAACACCAGUGGCGAAGGCGACCACCUGGACUAAUACUGACACUGAGGUGCGAAAGCGUGGGGAGCAAACA